UCUCGGACAUGCCUUGCAUGGCAGGCUCCCCGCACGUACGUGCGGCCAACUGUCAUGGGGCUGUCUUCUCAGUGUCCCUUCGUUUAUCCACAUAUUGGUCGCUCGGGGUGACCCGGAUUUGGUUGCCUGUGCGGUAUUACCGUCGUUGGUAGCACAACUGUCCCGCCGCUGCGUAUUUUGCUUGCUCCGUUGAUGCUAUGCAUCGAUGGGCGGCCGAGGCGUUGGCACAUUCCGUGCGCUGCGAUGCACUUUGUGCGUCGGAACUGCUCAUCGGAUGUUUGCCGGGUCUCACGGAUAUCGGUCCCUACGUUGAGUGGUCUGCGGGCUUCAAGCCUGCAGGCUCAUGGUGUUGCCCGUGCACAUAAAUUUGUUGCCGAUGUUUCAUCGACGUGUUGCGUCCUUUC
rnacentral:misc_RNA from 1 species